CCUACGGGCGGCAGCAGUGGGGAAUAUUGGUCAAUGGGCGCAAGCCUGAACCAGCAACGCCGCGUGCAGGAUGCAGGCUUUAGGGUUGUAAACUUCUUUUCUCAGGGACGAAGAAAGUGCCGGUACCUGAGGAAUACGCCACGGCUAAAUACGUGCCAGCGGCCGCGGUAAUACGUAGGUGGCACGUGUUAUCCGGAUUUUUUGGGUGUAACGGGCGUGUAGGCGGGAGUGAAAGUCAGAUGGGAAAACUUAGGGCUCAACCCUGAGCCGGCAGUUGAAACUGGGUUUCUUGAGUGCGGGAGAGGCAAUCGGAAUGCGGGGUGUAGCGGUGAAAUGCGUAGAUAUACGGAGGAACACC
rnacentral:rRNA from 1 species